ACCAGGAUCUAUGAGGUGGAGGCGUCUGCUCGCUCUGAUCCAGGUGUUGGACCCUCUGUGUUCUGUGGAGUGGGUCUGACUCUAGGUCUGGUCGGUGUGGCUGUUGGAACCUUCCUCCUCAUCAAAG